UACGUAGGGCGCAAGCGUUGUCCGGAAUUAUUGGGCGUAAAGAGCUCGUAGGCGGCUUGUCACGUCGGGUGUGAAAGCCCCGGGGCUUAACCCCGGGUCUGCAUUCGAUACGGGCUAGCUAGAGUGUGGUAGGGGAGAUCGGAAUUCCUGGUGUAGCGGUGAAAUGCGCAGAUAUCAGGAGGAACACCGGUGGCGAAGGCGGAUCUCUGGGCCAUUACUGACGCUGAGGAGCGAAAGCGUGGGGAGCAACAGG
rnacentral:rRNA from 1 species